rnacentral:rRNA from 1 species
AACGAAUCCAGGCCCUACGGGGCGCAGCAGGCGCGAAAACUUUACAAUGCGGGCAACCGUGAUAAGGGAACCUCGAGUGCCUGUAUAUGCAGGCUGUCCAGGUGUCUAAAACACACCUGAAGAAAGGGCCGGGCAAGACCGGUGCCAGCCGCCGCGGUAAUACCGGCGGCUCGAGUGGUGGCCGCUUUUAUUGGGCUUAAAGCGUUCGUAGCUGGGUCGUUAAGUCUCUUGGGAAAUCCGGCAGCUCAACUGUCGGGCGUCUAAGAGAUACUGGCGAUCUUGGAACCGGGAGAGGUGAGGGGUACUUCGGGGGUAGGAGUGAAAUCCUGUAAUCCUCGAGGGACCACCUGUGGCGAAGGCGCCUCACCAGAACGGCUUCGACAGUGAGGGACGAAAGCUGGGGGAGCAAACCGGAUUAGAUACCCGGGUAGUCCCAGCCGUAAACAAUGCCGGUUAGGUGACCAC